rnacentral:rRNA from 1 species
UCUUUAGUAACGGCGAGUGAAGCGGCAAAAGCUCAAAUUUGAAAUCUGGUACCUUCGGUGCCCGAGUUGUAAUUUGGAGAGGGCAACUUUGGGGCCGUUCCUUGUCUAUGUUCCUUGGAACAGGACGUCAUAGAGGGUGAGAAUCCCGUGUGGCGAGGAGUGCGGUUCUUUGUAAAGUGCCUUCGAAGAGUCGAGUUGUUUGGGAAUGCAGCUCUAAGUGGGUGGUAAAUUCCAUCUAAAGCUAAAUAUUGGCGAGAGACCGAUAGCGAACAAGUACAGUGAUGGAAAGAUGAAAAGAACUUUGAAAAGAGAGUGAAAAAGUACGUGAAAUUGUUGAAAGGGAAGGGCAUUUGAUCAGACAUGGUGUUUUGUGCCCUCUGCUCCUUGUGGGUAGGGGAAUCUCGCAUUUCACUGGGCCAGCAUCAGUUUUGGUGGCAGGAUAAAUCCAUAGGAAUGUAGCUUGCCUCGGUAAGUAUUAUAGCCUGUGGGAAUACUGCCAGCUGGGACUGAGGACUGCGACGUAAGUCAAGGAUGCUGGCAUAAUGGUUAUAUGCCGCCCGUCUUGAAACCCGAAAACA